rnacentral:sRNA from 2 species
ACGGGCGGUCCGCCGAAUCCUGCCGCCGUCCGGGGACUCGAUGGGAGAGGCAGGAGCGGGGGACCCACGAUUUCCGGCGCCGCAUGACCGCGCCUUGGGGUGAAGCCGCAUGACGACGGCCGGGCACCUCUGUCCGAACCCGACAGCUCACCUCGCAGGCGUGGAGGAUCAUCCAU